GUCCGACAUGUUGACAACAGACGGACAACAGUAUACCAUAAUACGUUCCGUAAACGAGCGUAUAAAAAAUAUUAUAAUAUAUUGAGUAGUAAUUUAAACACAUUCUAGACACAUAAAUUAAUACUAAAAACAUAGUCAUAAAAAAUGGAAUGCAUUACAAAGGAUUAUAUCCGUAAUAAGAAAUACUGAUUUGUCAAAGACCGAAUUAUUUUAAUAUUUCAUUUACUGUUAUCUGUUUUUGUCCAUUUUAAUUCCUUGUUAUCUGUUAUGAGCCAAAUCAAUUUGCUGUUUUGCUGUUAUUGGGACCCCCCUUGCCCCCUCUUUAAACUUAUCAAAUCAA
rnacentral:lncRNA from 1 species